rnacentral:rRNA from 1 species
AACGAACGCUGGCGGCAUGCCUAACACAUGCAAGUCGAACGAGACCUUCGGGUUUAGUGGCGCACGGGUGCGUAACGCGUGGGAACCUGCCCUUAGGUUCGGAAUAACUCCCCGAAAGGGGUGCUAAUACCGGAUAAUGUCUUCGGACCAAAGAUUUAUCGCCUUUGGAUGGGCCCGCGUUGGAUUAGCUAGUUGGUAGGGUAAAAGCCUACCAAGGCGACGAGCCAUAGCUGGUCUGAGAGGAAGGUCAGCCACACUGGGACUGAGACACGGCCCAGACUCCUACGGGAGGCAGCAGUGGGGAAUAUUGGAAAAUGGGCGGAGGGCUGAUCCAGCAAUGGCGGGUGAGUGAUGAAGGCCGUAGGGUUGUAAAGCUCUUUUACCCGGGAUGAUAAUGACAGUACCGGGAGAAUAAGCUCCGGCUAACUCCGUG